rnacentral:lncRNA from 1 species
CUGCCAAGUAUAAAAGGAACCUGAACCUCCACAGGGGCUGAGAUUGUGGCGUCUCAGAGCUCAGAUGGAUGUGAACUUGGCCACGAGUGCUGUCCCGUCUCGGCUCUGCUGCCAGCUGGUGGGGGGUCCCAGAAGAAGCCCACUGCAUGGAGCACCCUGUGGCUUACCACCGCUGCUGAUCUGCGUCAUGGAUUCUAAGUUAGAAACGUAAAACCAACUUAUUUUUUAAAAAAUAUAUUUAUUUUUGAUGUGGACCAUUUUUAAAGUCUU